rnacentral:rRNA from 1 species
GAUGAACGCUGGCGGCGUGCCUAAUACAUGCAAGUCGAGCGAACGGACGAGAAGCUUGCUUCUCUGAUGUUAGCGGCGGACGGGUGAGUAACACGUAGAUAACCUACCUAUAAGACUGGGAUAACUUCGGGAAACCGUAGCUAAUACCGGAUAAUACUUUGAACCGCAUGGUUCAAAAGUGAAAGACGGUCUUGCUGUCACUUAUAGAUGGAUCCGCGCUGCAUUAGCUAGUUGGUAAGGUAACGGCUUACCAAGGCAACGAUGCAUAGCCGACCUGAGAGGGUGAUCGGCCACACUGGAACUGAGACACGGUCCAGACUCCUACGGGAGGCAGCAGUAGGGAAUCUUCCGCAAUGGGCGAAAGCCUGACGGAGCAACGCCGCGUGAGUGAUGAAGGUCUUCGGAUCGUAAAACUCUGUUAUUAGGGAAGAACAUAUGUGUAAGUAACUGUGCACAUCUUGACGGUACCUAAUCAGAAAGCCACGGCUAACUACGUG